rnacentral:tRNA from 1 species
ACCACUGUGGGCAAAUUGGUAAAGUCGGUACACUUAGGAUGUACGUCAUUUUGUGAGUUCGAGUCUCAUCAGUGGUA